rnacentral:rRNA from 1 species
GACGAACGCUGGCGGCGUGCUUAACACAUGCAAGUCGAACGGAAAGGCCUCUCUCGUGGGGUACUCGCGUGUCGAACGGGGGAGUAACACGUGCGUAACCUGCCCUCGACUUUUGGAUAACUUCAGGAAACUGGGGCUAUUACCGCAUAUGGGCUCCUGCUGCAUGGUGGGGGUUGGAGAGUUUCGGCGCUUGUGGAUGUACUCGCGGCGUAUCAGCUUGUUGGUGGGGUGGUGGCUUACCAAGGCUCUGACGGGUAGCCGGCCGCAGAGGGUGACCGGCGGCAUGGGGACCGCGGGACGGCGCAGACGCCUACGGCGGGAAGCAGUGGGGAAGAUUGCACCAUAGGUGGAGGACGGAUGCAGCAACGCCGUGGGCGGGAGGACGGCCUUCUUGGGGUAAAAAGCUUUCUCUCAUGACGAAGCUUUGUGUGACGGUAGUGGGUAAAGAAGCACCGGCUAACUACGUG